UCGGCUUAGAGUUUGAUCAUGGCUCAGGACGAACGCUGGCGGCGUGCCUAAUACAUGCAAGUCGAACGAAUUGGUGCUUGCAUCAUUGAGUGGCGAACUGGUGAGUAACACGUGGGAGACCUGCCCAGAGGCGGGGGAUAACACCUGGAAACAGAUGCUAAUACCGCAUAACAACUUGACCGCAUGGUCCAAGUUGAAAGAUGUUCGUAUCACUUUUGGAUGGUCCCGCGGCGUAUUAGCUAGAUGGUGGGGUAACGGCUCACCAUGGCAAUGAUAC
rnacentral:rRNA from 1 species